AACGUUUGCCGCCGAAUACGUCACUCCCAUUUCUUGCGAGAUUUCUUGACUGCUUCAUUUUCUCUGGCAGUUGCCUCGGUCUAAAGGACCGCGGUCCUCUGGCGGCAAGACGCUUUUAAAUACAAGGCUACUCUCAAAAUCGACCGGCCAUGUUGGUUUGGACACACAUUCGCAUCAGUUCGUCGCUCAAUCACGAGUUACAUCCUGCAGUUUGCUAGCUAGCAAAGGCAUCGACUACCAUCGUUUAAAUACCUUGGCCAGAGCAUAACUGGUUAUCUUCACCCAAGAGACCUACUGUUGGUCAAUCGUUUUGGUUUUAAAGAACCAGGUUUCUCCCCAGUAAUCCAGACUCCACUUCACAGAGCCAAGAGUUUGAGUACAACUCGUCAAGUACUAAGCUUUACACCACCAGCAGCAAAUUUACCCUGGCAGCAUAUGGGUGAAAACGCUGGAGGAGAAAGUCAUCGCUUUGUUAUUGGCCCUUGGACGCCCCUGGCAUCUUGUGUACAGCACAAAGUUUUCAGCUAUGAAGAUUUCCAGUGACUCUGAGGGAGGAGAACCAAGCUCUGAGGGAGAAGAAAACCAAGGCCUUAGGGAGUGCAAUGCACAAGCAGCUUCGGAUGACAGCGGCUCACUUCAAGAGCAGGUGAAGCAAGUAGGGACAAUGUUGAAGACGU
ensembl:lncRNA